AACACUGAGGCACAGAGAUUAUACCAGCUGGGCUAGCGAGUGACCGGGGGAAGCCUCCAGAUCCAUGCACACAACCGCCAGGUUUAUGACACCUCUAGAAAUGUGGCCAGUGCCCCUGGGGUCUAUCAGCAUCUCUUGCUAGACCAGCAGAGCCCUAAAAAAGAAGACAACAGUCUCCCAGCAAAAUGUUGCAAGCAGCACAGGCUCAGGAAUGGACAGACUGGCAGGCAAGACACAGCAAGAAGGCAGCAGUCUGCACACCAGGAGGAGAGUCCUCACCACAACUCAGCCCUGCCACACCCUGAUCCUGGACUUUCAGCCUCCAGAGCUGUGAGAAAUAAAUGCCUGCUGUUUCAGCA
rnacentral:lncRNA from 10 species